rnacentral:rRNA from 1 species
UACGUAGGGUGCAAGCGUUAUUCGGAAUUACUGGGCGUAAAGCGUGCGCAGGCGGCGGUGUAAGUCAGAUGUGAAAUUCCCGGGCUCAACCUGGGGACUGCGUUUGAUACGGGCGGGCUUGAGUUCGGAAGAGGGUCGUGGAAUUCCCAGUGUAGAGGUGAAAUUCGUAGAUAUUGGGAAGAACACCGGUGGCGAAGGCGGCGACCUGGUCCGAUACUGACGCUGAGGCGCGAAAGCGUGGGGAGCAAACAGG